rnacentral:rRNA from 1 species
GAUACCCCGGUAGUCCACGGCCCUAGACUAUGUGCACUAGAUUGUGGGGGCUUCGACGCCCGCACAAUCCGAAGCUAAAGUGAUUAGUGCACCGCCUGGGGAGUACGGUCGCAAGGCUAAAACUCAAAGGAAUCGACGGGGGCUCACACAAGCGGUGGAGCAUGUGGCUUAAUUCGAAGCUACGCGAAGAACCUUAUCCAGGGUUUGACAUGUACGGAUUAGCUCGGCGAAAGUCGAGUGACGCUCUUUGAGUGGAACGUACACAGGUGCUGCAUGGCUGUCGUCAGCUCGUGCUGUGAAGUGUCGGGUUAAGUCCCUUAACGAGCGAAACCCCUACCACUAGUUACCAGCGGACCUUCGGGUGCCGGGGACUCUAGCGGGACUGCCGGUGUCAAACCGGAGGAAGGUGGGGACGACGUCAAGUCCUCAUGGCCUUUAUGCCCUGGGCUGCACACGUGCUACAAUGGUAACUACAGAGCGAAGCGAUACCGCAAGGUGGAGCAAAUCGCAAAAAAGUUGCCCCAGUUCGGAUUGUGGUCUGCAACUCGACCACAUGAAGUUGGAAUCGCUAGUAAUCGCGUAUCAGCAAUGACGCGGUGAUACGUUCCUGAGCAUUGUACACACCGCCCGUCAAGUCAUGGAAGCCGGGAGUGCCCGAAGUCGCC